GGGAUUCUGAACACAGGCUGCCUCCUAGGGCUCAGGCACAGAAAUAGAGUCAAGAGAAUGCUGGGUAGAAUUUGCUAUUUUGGGAAAGAAAUGCAGCUUGCUUUUCGCUUUCUUGUUUUACUUCCCACCCUACACCGAGCCCAGCCUCCAUCUGUGUGACCGACCGCCCAGGAUGGAAGCCUUCAUUGAACCAGGAGCCGCUGCCAGGGUUCCCUUGGCCUUCAUGUGAGGGGAGGUGUAGAUGUCCCAUUCAGACAAUGCUCACGGAGCUGAGCAUUCAACAGUCACCCCUUCUCAGCACUUUGACCGGCUGUGAGUCACUGCAGGGCACCUGACCAUUGCAGCGGGAAACGUCUCCAAUUGCUUUUGGUCACGGUGUUUCAUCACAGCCAUGGAAGCUAAGACCGAAUGAGUGAGGAAGUCAGCUGAGAAGAGAGUUCCUGUGCAGGAG